ACUUAAAUUGAAGAGUUUGAUCAUGGCUCAGAUUGAACGCUGGCGGCAGGCCUAACACAUGCAAGUCGAGCGGUAGCACAGAGAGCUUGCUCUCGGGUGACGAGCGGCGGACGGGUGAGUAAUGUCUGGGAAACUGCCUGAUGGAGGGGGAUAACUACUGGAAACGGUAGCUAAUACCGCAUAACGUCGCAAGACCAAAGUGGGGGACCUUCGGGCCUCAUGCCAUCAGAUGUGCCCAGAUGGGAUUAGCUAGUAGGUGGGGUAACGGCUCACCUAGGCGACGAUCCCUAGCUGGUCUGAGAGGAUGACCAGCCACACUGGAACUGAGACACGGUCCAGACUCCUACGGGAGGCAGCAGUGGGGAAUAUUGCACAAUGGGCGCAAGCCUGAUGCAGCCAUGCCGCGUGUGUGAAGAAGGCCUUCGGGUUGUAAAGCACUUUCAGCGGGGAGGAAGGCGAUAAGGUUAAUAACCUCAUCGAUUGACGUUACCCGCAGAAGAAGCACCGGCUAACUCCGUGCCAGCAGCCGCGGUAAUACGGAGGGUGCAAGCGUUAAUCGGAAUUACUGGGCGUAAAGCGCACGCAGGCGGUCUGUCAAGUCGGAUGUGAAAUCCCCGGGCUCAACCUGGGAACUGCAUUCGAAACUGGCAGGCUAGAGUCUUGUAGAGGGGGGUAGAAUUCCAGGUGUAGCGGUGAAAUGCGUAGAGAUCUGGAGGAAUACCGGUGGCGAAGGCGGCCCCCUGGACAAAGACUGACGCUCAGGUGCGAAAGCGUGGGGAGCAAACAGGAUUAGAUACCCUGGUAGUCCACGCUGUAAACGAUGUCGAUUUGGAGGUUGUGCCCUUGAGGCGUGGCUUCCGGAGCUAACGCGUUAAAUCGACCGCCUGGGGAGUACGGCCGCAAGGUUAAAACUCAAAUGAAUUGACGGGGGCCCGCACAAGCGGUGGAGCAUGUGGUUUAAUUCGAUGCAACGCGAAGAACCUUACCUGGUCUUGACAUCCACAGAACUUUCCAGAGAUGGAUUGGUGCCUUCGGGAACUGUGAGACAGGUGCUGCAUGGCUGUCGUCAGCUCGUGUUGUGAAAUGUUGGGUUAAGUCCCGCAACGAGCGCAACCCUUAUCCUUUGUUGCCAGCGGUCCGGCCGGGAACUCAAAGGAGACUGCCAGUGAUAAACUGGAGGAAGGUGGGGAUGACGUCAAGUCAUCAUGGCCCUUACGACCAGGGCUACACACGUGCUACAAUGGCAUAUACAAAGAGAAGCGACCUCGCGAGAGCAAGCGGACCUCAUAAAGUAUGUCGUAGUCCGGAUUGGAGUCUGCAACUCGACUCCAUGAAGUCGGAAUCGCUAGUAAUCGUAGAUCAGAAUGCUACGGUGAAUACGUUCCCGGGCCUUGUACACACCGCCCGUCACACCAUGGGAGUGGGUUGCAAAAGAAGUAGGUAGCUUAACCUUCGGGAGGGCGCUUACCACUUUGUGAUUCAUGACUGGGGUGAAGUCGUAACAAGGUAACCGUAGGGGAACCUGCGGUUGGAUCACCUCCUUACCUUAAAGAA
rnacentral:rRNA from 1 species